AUUGAACGCUGGCGGCAUGCUUUACACAUGCAAGUCGAACGGCAGCGCGGGCUUCGGCCUGGCGGCGAGUGGCGAACGGGUGAGUAAUGCAUCGGAACGUGCCCAGUAGUGGGGGAUAGCCCGGCGAAAGCCGGAUUAAUACCGCAUACGACCUGAGGGUGAAAGCGGGGGACCGAAAGGCCUCGCGCUAUUGGAGCGGCCGAUGUCGGAUUAGCUAGUUGGUGAGGUAAAGGCUUACCAAGGCGACGAUCCGUAGCUGGUCUGAGAGGACGACCAGCCACACUGGGACUGAGACACGGCCCAGACUCCUACGGGAGGCAGCAGUGGGGAAUUUUGGACAAUGGGGGCAACCCUGAUCCAGCCAUGCCGCGUGCGGGAAGAAGGCCUUCGGGUUGUAAACCGCUUUUGUUCGGGAAGAAAUCCUCUGAGCUAAUACCCCGGGGGGAUGACGGUACCGGAAGAAUAAGCACCGGCUAACUACGUG
rnacentral:rRNA from 1 species